rnacentral:rRNA from 1 species
CCUACGGGGGGCUGCAGUAGGGAAUAUUGGGCAAUGGGCGCAAGCCUGACCCAGCCAUGCCGCGUGCAGGAUGACAGCCUUACGGGUUGUAAACUGCUUUUAUACGGGAAAAAACCCUCUGACGUGUCAGAGGCUGAUGGUACCGUAAGAAUAAGCAUCGGCUAACUCCGUGCCAGCAGCCGCGGUAAUACGGAGGAUGCAAGCGUUAUCCGGAUUUACUGGGUUUAAAGGGUGCGCAGGCGGAACGACAAGUCAGUGGUGAAAUCUCCUGGCUUAACCAGGAAACUGCCAUUGAUACUAUCGUUCUUGAGUCCAGUUGAAGUAGGCGGAAUGUAGCAUGUAGCGGUGAAAUGCUUAGAUAUGCUACAGAACACCGAUAGCGAAGGCAGCUUACUAAACUGAAACUGACGCUCAUGCACGAAAGCGUGGGGAGCAAACAGGAUUAGAUACCCCAGUAGUC